rnacentral:rRNA from 1 species
GACGAAGGGGCCAAGCGUUGUUCGGAAUUAUUGGGCUUAAAGCGCAUGCAGGCGGGAAGUUAAGUGUUCUGUGAAAUCCCUCGGCUUAACCGAGGACUAGCGGGGCAAACUGGCUUUCUUGAGGCAAGUAGGGGUGUAUGGAACUCUAGGUGGAGCGGUGAAAUGCGUAGAUAUCUAGAGGAACGCCAGCGGAGAAAUCGGUACACUGGGCUUGUUCUGACGCUGAGGUGCGAAAGCGUGGGUAGCGAACGGGAUUAGAUACCCCGGUAGUCCACGCCGUAAACGAUGUCUACUAGGUCGUGGAGGUUCUGACGCCGUCACGGCCGAAGCAAAAGUGGUAAGUAGACCGCCUGGGGAGUACGGUCGCAAGGCUAAA